rfam:Shewanella oneidensis MR-1, complete genome.
CGAUGUGUACUCUUAAUUGGUAAAGCAGACUCGAUUAAGCGCUUAGGCGUAAAUCGUGUGUAUGUGGGUUCGACUCCCACCAUAUCGU